UACGUACCGUCCAAACGUUAUUCGGAAUUACUGGGCUUAAAGGGUACGUAGGCGGCGCUGCCAGUCGGGUGUGAAAUCCCUCGGCCCAACCGAGGAACUGCGCCCGAUACUGCAGUGCUUGAGGGAGACAGAGGUAAGCGGAACUGAUGGUGGAGCGGUGAAAUGCGUUGAUAUCAUCAGGAACACCAGUGGCGAAAGCGGCUUACUGGGUCUCUUCUGACGCUGAGGUACGAAAGCUAGGGGAGCGAAGGGG
rnacentral:rRNA from 1 species